AAAGAGGUUACCCCAAUGGAGAACCCAUCCAUUGUCUAAAUAUGGCCACUUUACAGCAAAAAGUGGCAGUCUGCCAGCCAUGGUCCAUCAAUUUGACCACCUGAAUCAAACUUUACUCUCUUUUCCCAUGGCUCUACCAACGCAACCCCAACAUGGAGGAACAUAUUUAAGUUUUGAACACACCACAUGUCACAAAGAGGCACGUGCAUGAUAUAUCCCAGCAUUGAGUGGUAGGUUUGAACUUUGAACUUUGAAAAAGGGUGGAUGAUAGAAUGGAAGUUGCGAACUUGUUUUGGUACACGUGAAGACGAGACUCGAUCCUUCGGCUAAGCAAAUUCCUUAUAUAACACCUCCACCGCCCUCCCUCCUCCGCCUCCUAUAAGCUUCUAUAUAUAGAGUCGGAACCUUUCCCUCAUUGCCAUCCGACCACAGAGCUUCCAACAGAGGUUGUGAGCUUAUAUCACAGUCCGGCGCUGGCGUAGGUUUGUGGGUGUAGAGAGGCUAGUAAUGGGACCUGGAGGGCCUGGAGGACCUGGAGGACCUGGAGGGCCUGGAGGGUGGGGUCCUGGCCCCGGUGGCCCUGGCCCGGGUGGUUUCUUUGGCGGUUUCUGCGAUGCUAUUUCUUCAUGCCUGAACUUCUUGUGCUGUUGCUGGUUGCUACAGGAUUGCUUUGGUGGUCCUGGAGGCCCAGGUGGACCUGGAGGCCCACCUCCAUAAUCAGCUGUUCUGUAUGCCAUCAGGGUGUUCUACAUUUAUCCAUUAGUUCUCCUUGGAGAAAUAGCUAGCUCUACUUCUCAGUUUAUCCUUUAAAUUGUUGUUUGUUAUGAUUAUAAGAUGGUGUGUAUGGAAUAAGUGAAUCAUGACCCUACAAUUCAUAGCUUUGAUUUGAUUCCUUGUAAAAUAAUCCAACCUUCUGAUUAGUUCA